rnacentral:rRNA from 1 species
UCUGACUUGAGUGCAGAAGGGGAGAGUGGAAUUCCAUGUGUAGCGGUGAAAUGCGUAGAUAUAUGGAGGANCACCAGUGGCGAAAGCGGCUCUCUGGUCUGUCACUGACGCUGAGGCUCGAAAGCGUGGGUAGCGAACAGGAUUAGAUACCCUGGUAGUNCACGCCGUAAACGAUGAGUGCUAGGUGUUAGGCCCUUUCCGGGGCUUAGUGCCGGAGCUAACGCAAUAAGCACUCCGCCUGGGGAGUACGACCGCAAGGUUGAAACUCAAAGGAAUUGACGGGGGCCCGCACAAGCGGUGGAGCAUGUGGUUUAAUUCGAAGCAACGCGAAGAACCUUACCAGGUCUUGACAUCCCGAUGCUAUUCUUAGAGAUAGGAAGUUACUUCGGUACAUCGGAGACAGGUGGUGCAUGGUUGUCGUCAGCUCGUGUCGUGAGAUGUUGGGUUAAGNNNCGCAACGAGCGCAACCCUUAUUGUUAGUUGCCAUCAUUAAGUUGGGCACUCUAGCGAGACUGCCGGUAAUAAACCGGAGGAAGGUGGGGAUGACGUCAAAUCAUCAUGCCCCUUAUGACCUGGGCUACACACGUGCUACAAUGGUCGGUACAACGAGUUGCGAGCCGGUGACGGCAAGCUAAUCUCUGAAAGCCGAUCUCAGUUCGGAUUGGAGGCUGCAACUCGCCUCCAUGAAGUCGGAAUCGCUAGUAAUCGCGGAUCAGCACGCCGCGGUGAAUACGUUCCCGGGCCUUGU